AGGAAGAUAUAAGGAGAUGCGUGGGGAAAGUUCAGUCCCUUCCUCAACGUUUCCCGGGUCAAAUUUUCCCAGGGAUAUCUAAGUUGGUAGCAGAACUUUGGGAAGCCAAUGUUCGUAUUGACGUCGGGGCUAAUAUUCCGCGCUCAACGCGCAGAAAAUACUCUCAUAUGGCACGCAAACGGGCACAUAUGCACACGCUGUGACUGACUCUGUGUGGGGUGUGUAACAUUUCUAUCUCGCUAUGGCGUCGGCAAAAACUCAGGCUGCAAUCCUAUACCCAUCUGCCUGGGAGUAAACCCCAUGGAACUCAACAGGACCUACUUAUAAGUGAACAUGCCUAAGAUCACGCCGAUAGGGUACCUGGGCAGGAUCCGGACAAAGUUAAGCAGCUCCAUUGGUUUUCAGAGGCAUACUCGAGCAGGCGCACGUCCUUAACUCUGUUCGAUUUAAAAUAAGUGCGACCUGAAAGUGCUUAACUUUGUCUGGACCACGACCUUUCAUAAUAAUUAAAGCAACAGAUACCAGUUUCUGAGCUCAUUUAUUUGCAAGGCCAUCGAUUUCAGUAAAGCCUACUUUCAAGUAAGUGCUCUUAGGAUAACAGCCUAGAAACGAACAUAAUUACAAAGAAAUAAAUCCUAGUAUGCAUUCUUAAAGCAACAAGCCCCCGCCCCUGCAGUGUUAUAUUUACUGCAGUGUGGUACCCCCAAAAGAAACAAACUCACAACGGAGAAGGUAAACUUAUGAAGGAAAAACCUGAAUAAAAAUGCGUUGUGGAGUUUAAAUUUUGCAUGUCUUUUCCAAACUUCCCCUUUAAGAUGGACAAAGGAUGAAAUUCUGAUCCAUUGAAAUCAAUGGGAAUUUGGCCAUUGACCAAGUUUCCUCUCUUCCCACCUCCUCCGCCCCCAGUAGAUGAUUUGUGUGCGUGCACAUAUUACUGGAAAACGUGCAUUCAGUAGCUAAUACUUACACACUAAUGAGUGGGUGAAGGGAGGGGGAAGAGAGGAUCUGUCUUGCAAAUAUAUUGAGCAGUCAAUACAGAGGGCAUAGUCCUCUGCAUCAGUCUUUGGCUCUCAGGGAAGCGGGCUUCUUUUAAUCAUGAUUAUUUCCUACUAGUAGCAGCAGUAACCACCAUCCAAGCCUACAACGAGCACCAGAUCUUAGUACUUUAUACCGAACUGGCUCUCAGUGCAGCUAUAUAACGUCAGGAUGCACAAGGCACUCGAAAGUGGGAAACUUCAUACGGUUGAAGGACAGGUUCUGGCUUGCAGGAGCCCCUGCUACUUUGACAGCUGUCGCUUUGGCUGCACCGGAGACGAAUCGCCCUCCUUUUGGUGCCAGAAGAAGCAGGAAAUUAGCCAGGUUGCGAGUUGAAAAUCUGCCACUCCAGCGCUUUGAAUCCAAUAUGCCACACCUUCCGGCGGAGGAACUGGAAAUUGCCAUCCAAGACCUGCGUUCUAGGCGACUGCCUGCUCUGAACCUCCAUCCACCCGGCUCCCUAUUGACUUACAAAGGACAAAUGAAAAUCGGGGGUGGUGGAGGUGGGGGGGGGGACGACUGAAAAGCCAGAGAGAUCCGAAGCAGGACAGAGCUGAGCAAAAGAAUGCAGCUCUAUUCUCGCCAGGGAAAUUAUAAAAAAGUUCAUGUUCACGGUUGCCAUCCACAUGACCACCGGCAACCAAUGGAGGAACGGAACCACUCAUAAAGUUGUAUUGCAAAGUUGUAAAUUUUCAUAAACAACAACGGAUUUAUGGCUCUUUCCUCCUCACUAAGAAAGAGGCAGGACUUAGAGAGGCGCCAUUUUACCAGAGAGGCAAGCUCUAGAUUUUUUAAAGGACCCACAGUCUGGACAAUUUUUGAAUUGUAUUUUAUAAUAGGGCGAAUAUUAAAACUGUGCCACACGCUUUUAACAGAGUAGCAGGAAAUCUGCCCUUAUUCACUCACCACUCUUAUUUAUCUUUCCAUAUAUAUAUAUGUAUAUAUAUAUAUGUGUGUGUGUGUGUGUGUGUGUGUGUGUGUGUAUAUAUAUAUAUAUAUAUAUAUGAGAGAGAUAACACUUAGUUUUGCUUUAAAUGAAUAAAAAGGGGGCGGAGAGAGAAAUUGCUCGUAGGAGAAAUAUUUUGGGAACAUGCUAUGGAAAUAGGUUCUAUACGUGUUAUAUCUUUGCUGAUGGCUUUGUCGUUAAUUCCGUGUUCUGGGGGCUACCGUGCUCCCUACAGACGGCGCCUUAAAGCGCCUUAUAGUCAUUCCAUUCCAGAAAUUUCAGGGACUUCCUCUCCAAAGUGCGGACUAUACCAGCCUAUAUAUACCUCGCGAGAUGCGUUUGAAAAACAAAUCCUGAAUUAGUUAAUUAGGACCUACUUGGAAAUCAGAUGUAUGUUUUCCAACGAACCAGUAGACUCAUCUUAAGCAAAAUCUCUCUUUUGUAUCCCCAUUAUACUAUGGGGAAGGAACUCUGAUUGGAAUCCACGAGAUUUCCGCCCAAGUAAUAUUUGGGUUGCUUGCUGGGUGGCUAGCAGCCCGCUCGCUCAUUCUCAUAUAUAAAGUAGAUCACUGUAAGAGCAGAUCUUAGUGAUUAUAUUAACAUUUAUUUCCAAGUACCAGGUUGACAGAGUUAUCGUUAGUUGCUUUGGGUUAUUUUGUAUAUACUCGGGACUUUCGCAUUUGGAUGCGGGUCUGCCUGCGUGCCUAGAUGUGUAUAUAAAUGUUUAUAUAGAUAUGUAACUUUUAAUAAUAAAAAAGAGAGGAUAUUUUGUCAA